rnacentral:tRNA from 1 species
GCCUCCGUGUCUGACGGUUCNNGGUAGAGCAUCGCAUUCGUAAUGCGGGGGUCGCGUGUUCGAGUCACGCAGGCGGCACCA